rnacentral:rRNA from 1 species
UACGUAGGGGGCAAGCGUUGUUCGGAUUUACUGGGCGUAAAGGGCGCGUAGGCGGCCAGCACAAGUCAGUUGUGAAAUCUCCGAGCUUAACUCGGAACGGUCAACUGAUACUGUGCGGCUAGAGUGCGGAAGGGGCAACUGGAAUUCUUGGUGUAGCGGUGAAAUGCGUAGAUAUCAAGAGGAACACCUGCGGCGAAGGCGGGUUGCUGGGCCGACACUGACGCUGAGGCGCGAAAGCCAGGGGAGCGAACGGG